GAUGAACGCUGGCGGCGUGCCUAAUACAUGCAAGUCGAGCGAACGGACGUGAAUCUUGCUUCUCUGAUGUUAGCGGCGGACGGGUGAGUAACACGUGGAUAACCUACCUAUAAGACUGGGAUAACUUCGGGAAACCGGAGCUAAUACCGGAUAAUAUUUUGAACCGCAUGGUUCACUAGUGAAAGACGGUCUUGCUGUCGCUUAUAGAUGGAUCCGCGCUGCAUUAGCUAGUUGGUAAGGUAACGGCUUACCAAGGCAACGAUGCAUAGCCGACCAGAGAGGGUGUGCGGCGACACUGGGAGUGAGACACGGUCCAGACUCCGACGGGAGGCAGCAGUAGGGAAUCUUCCGCAAUGGGCGAAAGCCUGACGGAGCAACGCCGCGUGAGUGAUGAAGGUCUUCGGAUCGUAAAACUCUGUUAUUAGGGAAGAACAUAUGUGUAAGUAACUGUGCACAUCUUGACGGUACCUAAUCAGAAAGCCACGGCUAACUACGUG
rnacentral:rRNA from 1 species